UGGCCUCAAAUCAGGUA
rnacentral:rRNA from 1 species